rnacentral:piRNA from 2 species
UAUAUUGUAAUGAAGAAAUAAAUGAAUGGA